ensembl:lncRNA
AUGCUUCCUGAACAACCAGAGGAUGUGUGUGACCUCUGGACAUUGGACAGUCUUUUGGAGACCCAUGUGGCUGAUAAAAGUUUCUCACAGUGCAAGUUCUCCAAUCGUAAAGCAGCAAAUCCCAGACCUGAGAAAGCUUUGAAAAACAACCCUGGAAGCUCAAUGGAGAAGGACAGCAACUUCAACUUGGAAAGACAACCAGCAUCUACCGAUUUAGAAAGCUUGACACAAAUGACCAGCAGUCUUCUGGAGGACAGCACGUCCUCCUGGUUUGGAUCCACUGAAAGAACAAGAACAUAUUCGAAACCACGUCUCACCAAAAACUCUGACAUGAAGUCGCUCCCCACAGAGGUUGAUGUUCCAGACCUGUGCCCCCCUUCUCCGGUGAUUUCACUCUUGUCUUUGGAUUCAUGUGAUUUGGAGGUUCAGAUGCUCAUAGAUGCCGAGCACAGUGUCCAAACACAUGAUGGCACCAUCAUAGAGAGUCUUCAGAUGGAUAUGGUGGACGAACUUGACCUACUGGAUUGUUCUGGUAAUCAUGGAGAUCUGCUUACCCAUGAUGAUGAUCCUAAAUGUAAAAUUGUGGAGUGGAUGGAUCACAGUGAAGAGGAUGGACGUUGUUUACAGGAAACAUGUGUGUUUCCAAGCUCUCUGGAUUCAGGUUCUGGUGGUGGGACCAGCAACUCCAUGUCCAAUUUGGGCCAAACUGGUCAUGAAUUUCUUGCUAAUGUUCUCUGCAGUCAAGAGCCACAUAAACAUAGUUUCCAUCAUGAUCAAGUAAACUAUACUAUGAACCACAAUAACAUUCUAGAAGACCGUUUUGAUCAGAUUGAACCUUGGAUGAAGAUGAAUGGAAAAGAGGACGGUUACUCAGAUACAGAUUUUUAUGCCAUGGAUGGUAAUAUUUCAAGCCAGCACAUCUUCCCAGGAUUUAAGAGUCAGUUGGACCAAUCCAAAAGGAUUCUUUAUGACAUUUGGGAACAACAACCUCUAAAAAGCUCAUGCAAGAACUAUACAAGUCCAGUAACAGAUCAGAUUAUGAUGCCAGACACUGAUAUCAGAAAUUUUGACAAAAAUAUUGUACAGGUACAGACUUUACCAGGCCCCCAAUGCCCGAUAAUGUGCUGCCUCGAAGACUUUUGUUGUCAUAAAGAAGAGUCGUGUUUUUACUCGAAAUUCAGAGGCAGUCAGAGUAGUUACAACUUUGAGGGCGUGGCUAGAUCUUUCCCUGCGACAUCACAUAAGCUCCACCCCACUCCAAUUCCAACUCCGCCUCUAGUUGAUGACUGGUUGUUCAGUAGCAUUGUGGCAGAGGAAGAGUAUUGA